rnacentral:misc_RNA from 1 species
AACGCACAUUGCACCCUCUUUCGGGAGGGUAUGCUUGUUUGAGAAUCUAUAGUAUUUCUAUUUACCUUAUUAUUAUAAUUUUAUUAUGAUUUUAAGGUAAAUGAUUUGAAGUUUCCUAUGAACAUUUAGUUGAUCAUAGGUACUUUUAAAUAGAUGAUUCCUAUCACUCUGAAGUUAGUGUUUUUAAGGAACCAUUGUAUUCGAAUAAACCUUAGGGUUUUUACUUAUGCAAUAUAACUUUUAAACGUUUAAGCUAAUUACUAAAAGAUAUGGAUGAAACCUUAGAAUUAUUUAGGUAAUUCGACAUAAGAUAUUAUUAUGAUUAGUUAGUUAAAAAUUUAUUUUUAAUUAUACUAUGAUAACGUAUCUGAACCAUGGUCUCAAAUCAAGUAGGAAUACCCGCUGAACUUAA